AAGAGUUAUGAAACAUAUUUCAAUAAAGGGAAAAAGUUUGCACAGGAGUAUGUACUGUUCAAAGUGCUUUUGAAUGUAUUACGGCCCUCGUACCCGCCCCGCCAACCACUAAUCUCUCCAACUAACCAUCGGCUUCUAAUACCGUCUCGACCACACCGUGGCGGUAUCAUAAGGACGAAGCUUUGGAAACACGUCUGGACUCGCGUCUCGAUCGAGCUGACCGAGCUGACGGCUGACUUCCACCUCCACACCUCGUCAGUCUCACUCGCUUCUCGCAGUUGGAACCUUCCUCUCUCCUGCUGCAUGGAUUUGGUAACCUCGACCUUAGAAGGAGAUGUGACGAACACGAACACACGUACACUCACGGUCUUCAUUACGUACAUGCCUGAGCAACUUAUAUUUGUCUUGUAUUUUAGGUGAAAGCUGACCAGAGGACAGAAGAUAAGAGCCUUGAUGGGCAUUUCAGCAUCAGGGACUACGUGAGGCUGGUUUGGGGUGGGACUACAGGUUGCCGCACCUGGUCAGAAGGGCAAUGGAGAGGGACAUCAAGGUGGCCUUCCUGCUGAGUAGUCCAGUGAGUGAGGCCUUCCUGCUGAGUAGUCCACCACGGUCAGUAUUCUCAAAGAUGUGAUCCAGGCAUCCAGCUUCCAGUACUGCAUCGUCAUCACCUUGGCCCACUUCGGCUUGCACACCUACACACAUUAUGGUGGCAGGGAUGUGGAUGACACUGUGCUGACCACUGAUUUGGAGCAACUGUGCUGACCUGGAUGGGCAACAUGAACUACACUGUGGAAAUAUUUUACCUCCCCCUGGUCAUCAUCCCAUACUCCGAGGAUCUCUUCCUCCCCCUGGUCAUCAUCCCAUACUCCUAGGAUCUCUUCCUCAUGCUGGUGUUUGCCUCGCUGUACCCAAUCUUGAGCCCUGACAUGCCCAGGAUAUUCGAACACCACCAAGCUGUGACUCGUGGUGACAAGAUCAAGCCUCUCACUGGUCUUGGUGAGAUUGAGUUCCAUCUCCUCCCUCAUGAGAUGUGAGUGUCGGUGCAGCAGCUGGUGGCCUCCAUACACAGCCUCCUGCAGGGGAUGAAUGAGUGGGAGGAGAUCUUCACCAUCAGACAGACAGCUCACAUCAUUGGCACAUAUCUGGAUGUUUUCUCCCCAGCUAGGCAGAGACAAAAAGGGUUGUUGAUACUGUGCAAGAGAGAGAGAUGGAUGGGUAGAUGGUGUCUACUUAGACUUGAAGAAGGCAUUUGACAAAGAACCACACCAAAGAUUGCAAUGGAAGAUAAAAAAAUUAUGGAAAAAUUGGAGGAAGACUGCUGGACUGGAUGGAGAAUUAUCUGGAUGAUAGAGAGAUGAGAACAGUAAUAUAAGACCAAAACUCAUCUUGGCUUAUAGUAACUAGUGAUGUCCCACAGUGGUUAGUGUUGGGACCGAUAAUAUUUGUAAUAUAAAUACACAUCUUUUCACUAGGAACAUCUCCCUGCUGCCCGGAGCAUUCCUGCAGCACGGUGCGUCAUAGUUGACAGAAAUCUUUCCUUUGUUUUUUUUCAUAGAUUUUGCUCCAGCCCUCGCACAGAAAAUAAAAGUUUAUCUUCAUUAUUUCUCUUAUUAAAAUAUCAUACAAGAUUAAGGAGACAUGUAGUAUCUUCUCAUAUUAAAAACUAUUUGUAGGCCCAAGAACAAGAAGGAAGGGGCAAAUGGCCCUUUUGAGAUAAGCCUACCAGAGAACUGGAAUUAUAUGUUUCUAUCAGUGCUCUCCCCUCCUCUCCUCCCUCCCCUCCUCUCCCCUCCUCUCUCCUCUCCUCUCUCCUCUCUUCUCCUCUCCUCUCUCCCCUCUCCCCUCUCCUCUCCUCUCCUC